GGCCGUCCCCAUACUCCGUCUGGUAUGAGUGCCAAAUGACCAAGUCUCCAUACCCCGUUCGGUAUGAGACAAUGUUCAUAGUAGGGUUUUCAAUGAACCCGGUCUAUCCACCAUCUCCCAGGAUAUUUAGUGAGGCUGUCAUCUUAUCCAUUUAUCAAAUCACAUCCCAUUCCUAUUUGUCCUUAGUCUCCGUUACCAACUCAAACAUGAAUACAUAAACAAGUAACGUGCAUCCAACGAAGCAAGCAUAUCUUAGAUUCCCAAGAUCAAAUAGUAGUGAAG
rnacentral:lncRNA from 1 species